rnacentral:rRNA from 1 species
UACGGGGGGGGCAAGCGUUGUUCGGAAUUACUGGGCGUAAAGGGCUCGUAGGUGGCCAACUAAGUCAGACGUGAAAUCCCUCGGCUUAACCGGGGAACUGCGUCUGAUACUGGAUGGCUUGAGUUCGGGAGAGGGAUGCGGAAUUCCAGGUGUAGCGGUGAAAUGCGCAGAUAUCAGGAGGAACGCCGAUGGCGAAGGCAGGUCUCUGGGCCACUACUGACGCUGAGAAGCGAAAGCAUGGGGAGCGAACAGG